rnacentral:lncRNA from 1 species
AAUAUCAAAUCAAUUGUCUAAAUCGGAUGUUAACCAAGUAUCGAACUCGGAUGUCAAUCGAGUAUCUACUAAGAAAUCGAAAUCCAUGAUCUAAAAGAUUAGAGGUCUGUGGAAUGAUUACAAUGUACGAUGAGAGCAUUAAUUGCUCGUAACUAAGAAAUCGUGAGCCAAAUUAAUUGCUCACUAAAUUCACAUUGAAUUCAGAAACUCCUACGUUCCUAUAUUUUAAAAGAUGGAAGUUAUGAAACAACGACACAUCUCAUCUCUAUAUAAAGAGAGAUAAGGAGC